rnacentral:rRNA from 1 species
ACGAACGCUGGCGGCAGGCUUAACACAUGCAAGUCGAGCGCCCCGCAAGGGGAGCGGCAGACGGGUGAGUAACGCGUGGGAACCUUCCCUUUGGUACGGAAUAACCCGGGGAAACUCGGGCUAAUACCGUAUACGCCGGUAACGGGAAAGAUUUAUCGCCGGAGGAUGGGCCCGCGUCGGAUUAGCUAGUUGGUGGGGUAACGGCCUACCAAGGCUACGAUCCGUAGCUGGUCUGAGAGGACGACCAGCCACACUGGGACUGAGACACGGCCCAGACUCCUACGGGAGGCAGCAGUGGGGAAUCUUGGACAAUGGGCGAAAGCCUGAUCCAGCCAUGCCGCGUGGGUGAUGAAGGCCUUAGGGUUGUAAAGCCCUUUUGGCGGGGACGAUGAUGACGGUACCCGCAGAAGAAGCCCCGGCUAACUCCGU